UUGAUCGAUCAUGAAAAAAAGUAUCAUUUGAUAAUUUCUAUUCUGUGUGUGAAUCUCUUUUUCUCUGUUUAUUUAAUUCAAACUUAAUUUAUCCAACAACAAGCCGUUUAUACCCACCGAAAUUUGUCAUCUUCAAGUAUACCAAUCUCUCGAUAACCUACUACGCCUGGUCAUUUUUUGAGAAAAUUUCUACACAUUACACAUUUCGGUCCAACAUUGAUCAAAUUUCUCAUUUGAAUAAAUGAUAAAAUAGUGAACAGAUC